rnacentral:rRNA from 1 species
UUCAGCGGCGGACGGGUGAGUAACGGCUGGGAACCUGCCCUGACGAGGGGGAUAACCGUUGGAAACGACGGCUAAUACCGCAUAAUGUCUACGGACCAAAGGUGGCCUCUACAUGUAAGCUAUCGCGUUGGGAUGGGCCCAGUUAGGAUUAGCUAGUUGGUAAGGUAAUGGCUUACCAAGGCGACGAUCCUUAGCUGGUUUGAGAGGAUGAUCAGCCACACUGGGACUGAGACACGGCCCAGACUCCUACGGGAGGCAGCAGUGGGGAAUAUUGCACAAUGGGGGAGACCCUGAUGCAGCCAUGCCGCGUGUGUGAAGAAGGCCUUCGGGUUGUAAAGCACUUUCAGCAGUGAGGAAGGUGGUGUACUUAAUASGUGCAYGGCUUGACGUUAGCUGCAGAAGAAGCACCGGCUAACUCCGUGCCAGCAGCCGCGGUAAUACGGAGGGUGCGAGCGUUAAUCGGAAUUACUGGGCGUAAAGCGCAUGCAGGCGGUUUGUUAAGUCAGAUGUGAAAGCCCGGGGCUCAACCUCGGAACCGCAUUUGAAACUGGCAGGCUAGAGUCUUGUAGAGGGGGGUAGAAUUUCAGGUGUAGCGGUGAAAUGCGUAGAGAUCUGAAGGAAUACCAGUGGCGAAGGCGGCCCCCUGGACAAAGACUGACGCUCAGAUGCGAAAGCGUGGGUAGCAAACAGGAUUAGAUACCCUGGUAGUCCACGCCGUAAACGCUGUCUACUUGGAGGUUGAGGUUUAGACUUUGGCUUUCGGCGCUAACGCAUUAAGUAGACCGCCUGGGGAGUACGGCCGCAAGGUUAAAACUCAAAUGAAUUGACGGGGGCCCGCACAAGCGGUGGAGCAUGUGGUUUAAUUCGAUGCAACGCGAAGAACCUUACCUACUCUUGACAUCCAGAGAACUUUCCAGAGAUGGAUUGGUGCCUUCGGGARCKCUGAGACAGGUGCUGCAUGGCUGUCGUCAGCUCGUGUUGUGGCCUUGUACACACCGCCCGUCACACCAUGGGAGUGGGCUGCACCAGAAGUAGAUAGCUUAACCUUCGGGAGGGCGUUUACCACGGUGUGGUUCAUGACUGGGGUGAAGUCGUAACAAGGUAGCCCUAGGGGAACCUGGGGCUGGAUCACCUCCUUAC